UGCAGAAUCCCGUGAACCAUCGAGUCUUUGAACGCAAGUUGCGCCCGAGGCCACCAGGUCGAGGGCACGUCUGCCUGGGCGUCACGCAACGCGCCACACUCAACCCCACCAACGAAUCGCGGGGAAGAGAGUGGAGAUUGGCCUCCCGUGACUAGUGCACGGUUGGCUGAAAGAGAUUGCCCCUGGUGGCUCGACGUUGCGAUCAGUGGUGGAUGAAACCUCUUCGCCGUGAUCGGUUGACCUGAUCGCACGAUCGUCGCCAGGGAAAAAGGGGACCCCCUUGUGGAUUAAAUACCAUGCGACCCCAGGUCAGGCGGGGCCACCCGCUGAGUUUAAGCAUAUCAAUAAGCGGAGGAGAAGAAACUUACAAGGAUUCCCUUAGUAACGGCGAGCGAACCGGGACAAGCCCAGCUUGGAAAUCGAACGGCUACGUCGUUUGA
rnacentral:rRNA from 1 species